GAAUUUAUUUUGAUACCAGAUUUUUUAAAGUAAAGUUGUUAGGAAUGCUCUAGAAAGGAAUUUAGCAUUAGAUUACGAGCUUUUUUUUUGUAAAUUAAAGCAAAAGGUAUGAUUUCAUAAAUUGCGCCGCCCAUGGCUGAUGAACCAUAGUGCCCCUCCCCAGGCCAGAAGAGACUUUAAUAAAAACACCCUGGGACUACUAUAAUGAUUUACACACUGGCAACUGAGCUUAACUUGUAUAUUAAUUUCAUGAACAUGUUUUAUCUCUUUGCUUUUUGCUUUUAAUUGCUUACUACAGUUAUGAUGACAAAGAAGUCUGGAAUAAACAAGAAACCUCAGAACCACCUUAACCGUGUCUGCUACAAUGUGUGUUCUUGCAACCAGCUGAUUGAUUCAUUUUAUCAACUCUCAAAUGGUUGAUUAUCAGAACUGAAUUCAGAGCUGCUCCUGUCUGUAGUAACAUCAUUAUUGGAAGAGCAGAUUUCAGAAUGAGGGCGUUGCUGCUUUAAAAACUUUACUCCAUGGUACUCUCCAAAUUCAUCUCAAAUUAGACUGCUUCAGGAAACCAGAUUUGUUCCUUCAAGCAGAGACGCUUGUGGCUUUCCUGACUGGACUUCUAUGGAUUCUUCAUGCCAACCUUAAAGUAUACAUCCAAAGAAAAUUCACGAAAGUGAUGAUUAUAGACAAAUUAUAUAUGAAUGGAAAGGUCUUGUCUUUUUAUACACAAAUAUGUCACUAAAAAGUCUUAUUGAUGUCGUGGAAAUGCAAGAAAUGAAAUUAUUAGAGACCAUUCUAAGCCCCCCAGCCGCCCCCAGACCGACAGUUCACGCAGUGAAAACAGUCGAGAAUAAUGACGUCACACAAUCAUCGAGCUCAUCAUCCCUCUGUGCAUAAUACACUGAAUCACCUUACUGACCUCUUCAAUAUCUUCCGAAUUUACCGUUUUCUUCUAGUAAUGUGACAUCCGAAUUCUGUUUUCGACAACUUCAGACUAUAAGGGAACCAGAACUGUGUUAUUUUGCCCGUUUUUUAUUGAAUUGUGAACUGGAAAGAUCGAUUUUGUCCACUCGACAGUCUUCGUUGUGUUGCUCUACUAACUAUUGAAAAACUCCAAGCUGCACGGUCCCAUUCACUUGCUCCCGAUGCAUGUUGCAGGCUACGCUGUUUGAUCCAGUCAAAAGUCAAGAUCUGCACACUUGCUGACUCUGGUGACUUCUGGUCUCUGCUUGCUACCUCAAUCUGGGAGAUUCCAUCAUGUCCUUUUACUAUGAUUUGGGUAUAGCCAUUUUUUUCUUCACUCUUUCCAGGACCUACGGUUUGCAAGUUGUGGACUGAUAAUGAUACAAAAGAAAAUUUUUCUUUAUCAAUCUUGGAAACAACUUUGAGCACAGUUUUGGAGAGAACUAAGAAAUUUGACUUGGACAGGAAUACGUACAGCUUGUCAAAAAUAAUAACACACAAUUUAAACGAAAGAACAAUUUUAAUGUUACUAGGGCAUUUUGCGAGAAAUGUUAUACUCAAUCACACGUCCCAAAUCAAGGGUAAGUCCUUUGAUUAAACAUGUAGUUGAAUUGCGAUUGCAACUCGACCUUAUUACGCUUGAAUUUGAAUUUAAGACUUACGCUUGAUUUGCAAUUGAACAUAAGUUUCUUGCAGUGCCCCAUAAUUAUGUUUUGUUAUCAGAUAUUUAACGUGCUGAUUUUUCUCGAAAGGUAUAAUAUAUUUGUCCUUUUAAACGGUAUUUGAAUAUGGGUACGCCUUUUAUUUGUUUUCCACAAUAUUUAUUGCAUGUAUGAACAGAAGUGAAAUAUUUAUUGUGAAGCACUGUGAAUGUUGUGUGAUGGUUCAUCAUUUUUGUUAUAAGACUGAAAGCCUGGUGGAUGUGAGGAAGUGGCCUGGAUGAAAGAAAAGUGAACAUGUGUCCAAUUACUGAUUUGCAUAUUCUAAGACAAUUUUGUUUCUGGAUAAAUUUUGCUAUGCAUUCCCUACAUUAAGAGUAAAGGAGAAGUCCACGCAAUCAAAAAUUCAUUUGAAUUUAAAGAAAAAUAACAAGAUAUUGCAGGAAAUUUCAUAAAAACUUUGAUUCAAAUUUAUAUAAUUACUAUUUUAACAGUUCCGUAAAUAUAACCUAUUGUGAUCAGAUGAAGAGUUUCCUAUCGUCAAAUCUGCAAAGAAUAAAAAACAAAAUGCCACAAAAAAUAGAAACGAAUGUGAUGUGAGUGACAACUCUAAUUUGCAUAUCAUUGUUUUGUGUAUAUGACUGUUUUGAGUAAAAACAACAAGGGAAAUUACUCUAUUCAAAUAAUUUUUAGUUGAUGUGGACUUGACUUUUAACUCUACCCCUCCCAUCCCAAAUAAGAGUAGAAAUUAUCUAAUCAAGAACUUGAAAAUCAAAAGCAGCAAUUAAGAAGCAAGAUGUGAUAAAUACAGGUCUGAAUAGAAUUUCACAAGAAAAUAAAAAGAGAAAAAAAAGAUGGGUAGGGACGGGGAAGG